CUGCUCCAUCUGGAAACCCAGCGCUCUGCUCGCUCUGCUCUUGCUCUCUGCCGUCUCCACGACAACACCCUGGGAGUGGCACAGCAGGUCAUCACGAUGCAGUGUGUAGAGAGGGAGGAUGACACAUGCACUCCAUUGUCUGUGGUAAUAUCACAGCCCUAACCAUCGAGAUAUAGCCUUGGGUAUUGUGUUAAUACAAAAUUGGACCAAAUGAUUUAGAUAUUUUGGUCAUUCACUAGAACUCUGCCCAUUUUCUAUUGACGUCUGCGUAUUGAAAGCGAAAACAUCACCGUUUGAGGAGAGAAAACAUAUACAGUAUGUAUUUAUUUCUACAUAUUGUCAUCACAGAGGUGCUAAUGUAUUUUGUUGGUAACUGAGGAAUAGAAGAAUUCAGACAAGACAUUGUUAUUCACAGACUGGUUUCACUAAUGUAAUUCCUAUAUUACCUGGUUUCAAGGUAAAAGCAACCAAUCAUUGUGCUGUUGGGAUUCUCAGGGUCCUCAUUUCUCGGUUCAUUGUGAAGAGCUCAUAUUGUAGUGCAAACUACCAUUAUAGAUCCUCUAAUUUGUAUACUGUAAUACUUGAGUAAGACUUAGAAAAACUGUAAUGUUAUGUCCUGUAUCACCAUGAUUUAGCAUGGGUCUCAAGCAGAGUGAUGUACUUACCCAGCUGCUUUGUGGACAUGUCUUGUUUGACAUGGCUUGGAUAUCCACAAGGAUUACCAAUGUAUUACCACAUCAGUGAGGUGAACUGAUUUGAGGACAAAGAGCAAUGACUACCUUAUGCACCAAUAAUUUUAGCGAAGCUUCAUUGAUUGACUAUAUUUCUGCCCAAUGACCACUGAUCUUCUUGAAAUCUAGCUGGGUAGAUAGCCAAUGAGCUGAGGUAAACGCCAGUAUGUAAUGGUUUGGGGUUGGACCACAAUUCCUUGUUUGUAAUCGCACGCGCAGAGAACUCCAUUCUCGCCUUGACGAUCAGAGGAGUUGCUGUAAGGCUUUUUACGCGCAGCUGUAUUUCGGAAAGUUGAAGUUUCAAUGAUUUCAUUGAAGAUAUCAUGGCGAAUAAAUCAGGUAAAGCGAAGUCAAUGUCUAAAGUGAAAGUGAAAGUGAAAAAGUGAAAGUGAGACAGAUUUUUUGUUUGAGGAAUCUUGGAGUGAUAAGAUUCAAACGAACUGAGGAGCUGUUUCUGCAUGGAUAGGACAUACUUCUGGACGGUGAUAGCGACUCCGACUGGGAGCCCCCGGUGCCAAGCUGCCCACUCUACCUCUGCCCCAAGUGGUGUUCAUAUGCCACAGUUCAUUACUGCAGGCAUGACUGUGCCUCAGGGCCAAAAGGGCACAGCAUGGAGGCGUUGUUGUGUUCUGUGUCGCAUGAACUGCACCACUUGUUCAGUUUGCCUCUGCUUUACAUCAGAAAGAGACUGCUAUGGGACAUGGCACAGGCAGCAAAAUAUUGUGACGUGGACUUCCAAGGGGUGUACUGUUUUUUUUAAAUAUUUAUUUUCUAAUAUUAUUUUAAACCAUUUUUUUUUGUGUGUGUGUUAGAAUUGCUUUUUGAUAUGUUGUAUAUAGUUAUUUUCACUGCUGUAUAUAGUUAUAGGUAAUUUCACCAAUUCGGCCACUUGGGUACAUUUGGGCAACUUGUGUGGGACACACAAGCUCACCCAUUCCUUAAGUUAUCAGUCUGAAAUCCAUCAAAUUUGUCUCCAGCAUCCUAUCUGACUGUGUGGCUAUUCUAGUACAUGUGAAAGAUGAUACUACAACAAUAAAACACAGAAAACGUA